GAGGGAGGACAAGUGUAAGGUGGAGAACUUGGGCAUUGUGAUCACUAUUGCCUGAAUCCAGAGGUUCUAAAGCCUGGGAGUGACAGUUUAUAAAUAUCAGAUCUAGAGUGGUUUUGGUGUUAUAUUUGCAUCUUGUGGAGAAAGGUGGCAAUGGUUGGGAGCAGAGCUGCGGGCUCAUACACAAUGUGCCACCUGCCAAUGCGAUUGAUAGCUGCACACACACCAACAAAGGAACAAAUUGUCUGCUUGCGGACAGUUUCCAGCAUCUUAGUAGGGAGUGGGUAGGGCAGUGGUGGGAGCUGCUGCUGUUGCUGCUGCAGGGGUGACCAGCUUGAAAAUAAAAGCAAAGGAUGUAGCAGGACAACACUCAAGGCCGUUAGCUGACAGUGCUGUAUCAUGUGUGACCUCGUGAGGUGCAGCAUAUGGUAACAAGGUACUGAUGCUGUAAUACUCUGUGUUAAACUUUUCAACAUGGGAAAACGGAGAUUUCGUAGUGAUUGGCUUGGAAAGACAGACAGUCUGAAAAGUCUCUGCAUGGGGGGAAAGACAGUGAAAGGGAACUGUUUUUCAGUGUGUGUUCUUGCUCUAUUAAUUUGAAGAUUAAAGUUUUUCAGGCAAUUUUUAAUGACUCACUUUCAACAAAAUGCAAAUGUAACUUUAAUAGUAAGUUUGGACCACAUCAUUUACAUUUAGCACUUUCAGAUUGGACACAACCUUAAAGUUCGGUAUGUGCACCAACAACACAGAUGUUAAGUACAAAGGGUAGUGCAACCACUGCUGAACUCAUUUGUACACUGGAAUCAGUGAGUUGCAAUUACUCUAUGUAAUUGUCAAAUGAUAUGUCUAACGUUUUUAAAAUAUUCCCUGAUAGUGUUCCUAAACAUUUUUCACUUUCUUCUAAUAAAAUGAGACACCUAUUAACUGA